rnacentral:rRNA from 1 species
ACACGUCAUACAAUGGUCGGUACAGAGGGUUGGCCAAGCCGCGAGGUGGAGCCAAUCCCUUAAAGCCGAUCGUAGUCCGGAUCGUAGUCUGCAACUCGACUACGUGAAGUCGGAAUCGCUAGUAAUCGCAGAUCAGCAUGCUGCGGUGAAUACGUUCCCGGGUCUU